GGGGUGGCAGGCUGGCGCCGGCGAGCGGAGGCCCUGACAGCCUCGGCCGGCGGCAGGAAGCGCAGGGCGAUGGCGCUGAGCCCCCCCGAGAGCCAGCCGGGCCCGGAGCCCCCGCACCCGCCGCCCGAGCAGGAGGGCGACGAGGACCCGGUGCCCAUCAACCACCAGCAGCUGCGCAGCCUGGAGCCCGAGCCGGGCGGGAUCCCGCUGCACUCGCCGUGGACCUUCUGGCUGGACAAGUCACUUCCAGGUACCACAGCAGCUGAAUGUGCAUCAAAUCUCAAGAAGAUCUAUACAGUACAGACAGUACAGAUUUUCUGGAGUGUCUAUAAUAAUAUUCCUGCUGUGACAAAUUUGCCUCUGAGAUGUAGUUACCAUUUAAUGCGGGGAGAAAGACGGCCACUUUGGGAAGAGGAAAGCAACGCCAAAGGAGGUGUAUGGAAAAUGAAGGUCCCUAAAGAAAGUACGUCUGCAGUUUGGAAAGAGUUAUUGCUGGCAACUAUUGGGGAACAGUUUACAGAUUGCUCUGCAGCAGAUGAUGAAGUAAUAGGGGUUAGUGUCAGUGUUCGUGACCGAGAAGAUGUUGUUCAAGUCUGGAAUGUGAAUGCAUCUUUGGCAAGUGAAGCAACAGUUUUAGAAAAGAUCUAUGAACUUCUGCCACACACCUCCUUUAAAGCAGUAUUUUAUAAGCGCAGCAUCUCCGGAAUCACAUGAGGAUGCCUUUGGCUGCAUUCCCAGGAUUGAGGAUGCCCAGGGAAAUCAUCUGAGAUGGCAGGAACUUGGAAAUCUCCCACUGCAGGAGACAGGGUCAUAGAUCCCACCAGGAAUAUACCACUACUCUGGAAUGCCAUAGAAGAAAAUCUCCCAGUCCAGUUAACCUGGAAGCCUCUUGACUCAUCUCUGCACCACCUGAUUCAGACCCAAUCAGCACCACCUGUCAGGAUCAGGGCUACUCCUUUAUAACCCAGUGAAGGAGGGUUCAAGAGAAGGAUCCGUACAGGACUGAAGUGCUCACUGCUCUGAGUUUAACAGGACGCUGCUUUCCACCAUUCUCUAAAUCUCCCAGCUGAGUACAGUGGGACUCUGCCAAACCCCCACUGCGAUUCUUCCUACCAGAGGACAAAGUGGCCAGAGCACUGUACGGAGAACAGUGUAAGAAGAGCUCUCAAAACUGAACGUGCAGCCUUUGCCAGAGGCCCUGCUGCUGCCUGGGGUUAUGCGCAGGGUAAGUAAAUUGUGUAGCUGACAGUGGUGGGAGCUACCAGCAGGCCCUCCCACACAGCUCUAACCUGCAGCCAGCUGUGAAAUGCUCCUCCCAGUUAGCGUGUCAGAUGGUGUUCAGCCUUACCCCCCGUGCAGACAAUGUGUUACUGGAGAGCUGUCCUUGCUUGCUCCUGCCCCACAGUAGUAUAACAUCCCUGUGGGAACAUGGUGGGGAAGUAUUCCAUGCAUUUGGAGCUGACUUAAAGGCACUUGAUUCGGUUAAUCAUCCUGCCUGCUUUGCUCCUGCUUUUCUUUCUUCCUCCCAUCUGUCCUCUUCCUCUCUCCCUCUGCUCCCUGGCACUUGCUUCACUGCCACCUGCUCCCCUUCCCAUCCUCCGCACUUGCUAAUGCUUCCCUGAUGCCUAGUCCUCCUCUUCCCCAGCAUAUGCUUCUCUGUCACUUAACUUCCUUACUCCCCCUCUGCACAUGCUGCCUGGCCCUUCUCUUUCUCCUCCAAACAUCCCUCUCAUUGGUAGCUCAGGGCUUCAAGGGCAAACCCUGUUUCUAUCCCCCCCCCCCCCCCCCCCCCCCCCCGCUGGCACAGCAGCGUCUAGUGAAGGCAUCUAGGCUGUCUUGUUCUGUUUUUUUGCAGUUGCUUUUCUGGGCAUGCAGGCUCAUCUUUGCAAUAAAUCAGGUCACCAGUAACUCCACCGAUGACCGGCAAGUACAUGGAGUUGUCUCCUCCUGAUCAUGGUGUGGGAACCACUGUCCUACGACUAGGUUUGGCGUUAAGUCGUCGUCAUUUUCAAUGAGAGUGAAAAUUAAUCUCUUGAAAUGACUUGAACGUGGAGGCCGAGGCUACAGACUUUGUACUGGUGUAACUAUUCCAGUUAGGGGUGUGAUUGUUUUACUGAAAUAGUGAUGCUCGUACAAUCCCUGAAGUGGACACAGUUAUACCAGUAUGAAUGUGUCAUAUACUGGGAUAGCUUUUACCCUGAAAUGUAUUAGGAUCGGUUGCUCCAGGGUAAGUACCUUUCUGCCGGUAGAGGUGUGUCCACAUGAGGGUGCUUAUGCCAAUUAAGGGUGUGAUUGUUUUACUGAAAUAGUGAUGCUAGUACAAUCCCUGUACAAUCAAGAUAGGAUUCAUUCCUCUGCAAGGAACCAGCAGCCUGAUGAAAACAAAGAGUGGCCCCUGUACCUGCUGCCUCCCAUAAAUGGGCUAGUAAAAGAGCACCUGGCUUGUCAUUUACAUGGUCUAGGUGUACCAGUUAUCGAUCACUGAGAGAGCUUUAAAAGGGUUAUUGCAAAUCCUCCCUGGAACUCCUUCCAGUCAAUCAGCCAGGCUGGUUUUGUGGAAUACCUACCUGACAGCAAAGAACAUCAUGUGAGAUCUUAAAUAACAGCCCCGUGGUUAGAGAGGUGAGAGACCCCUGUUCAAACUCCUUCUCAUCAGCCAGAGGAGGACUUACAGGGGGAGAAGAGUGUCUCCUGCUUCCUGGAUAAGUGCUAUAACCACUAGUCCCAAAUUUACGCAGGAGGGCUGCUUAGGGUUGCCAGGCAUCCAGUUUUCGACUGACCUGGCGGCUCUGGUCAGCACAGUUGACCGGGCUAGUAAAAGUCCAGUUGGCUAGAGCAGCCAGCUCCUGGAAGUGGCCAGCAUGUCUCUCCAGUUCCUAGGCACAAAGGUGGUCAGGGGGAUCCGCGUACUCAGGGCCGUCCCUAGCUAUUUUGGUGCUCUACGCAGUCAGAAGUGAAGUGACCCAGCCCCAGGUUCUGCUCCUCUCACUCCCAGGCUUGGGGGACAGCAGGGAACCUACCCCCAGCACUCGCCAGCGGCAUGGCUGGGAGCCAGAAGAGCGGAGCAGGCUGGGGCCAGGUUGCUCUACUUACCGGUGAGUGCAGGCCCGACCGCUUCUGGAGUCCUCAGGUCAAGUGGCAAGUUCAACCAUCGCUGCUGGGGCAUUGCACCACCACGGCCCUGGCAGGACCCUGGUGUCACCACGUGCAGCAUUGGGUUACCAGAGAAAUCGGUACCCUAACAAAUGAGUUCCUAUCAUAUUUGCUUUUAAAAAGCAUCGUUGACUGUUCCUUGGAAAAAUCUAUUUUUGACAAAUGUCAGUUACUUUUUCAGACUGCGUGGUCUUUGGCUGAAAACUCCUCUCUCUUGUGGUUGUGGAUAUCAUGAAUAAAUGUGAUAUGAAUAAA